UACAGAGGCCUCGAGCGUUAGGCGGAAUCACUGGGCUUAAAGCGUGUGUAGGCGGACUUCUAAGUACCUUGUGAAAUCCCACGGCUCACCCGUGGAACUGCUCGGUAUACUGGUCGUCUUGAGCCUUCUAGGGGCGAGUGGAACAAAUGGUGGAGCGGUGAAAUGCGUAGAUAUCAUUUGGAACGCCAAUGGUGAAAACAACUCGCUGGGGAAGUGCUGACGCUCAUGCACGAAAGCGUGGGGAGCAAACAGG
rnacentral:rRNA from 1 species